rnacentral:lncRNA from 1 species
GAAGGAGGAUCAUCUGCUGUGGGUGUUCCUGAUCUUUGAGCCAUGAUAAUGUUACUGGUUGGAUGUCAGGAGCAGGCCAUGUGGAUGAUUAAAAGAUGAAUAUCAUAUACAGCAUGGAUAUGUUGGACAAAAAGAUGAUUCACAUCCCAGACAGAAUGGAGCAGUUGUUCUUCCAGAUGGCAUGAAUCCAACAGUGAAGAAAUCAGAAUACGUUGCUUUUGUGAGGGGCAGCUGCUGAUUUUCUCUGAGCUCCGUUUCCAGCCUUCACAUGCUCUGCUAUUCAUCACAGGGUAAAUUCUGACUAUAGGAGGUACUGACAGAAGAUUAGGGAAGAACAGAGGGCUAAAUGUUUAUUGACUUCUUGAAAAAUGCUAUGUGUCUUGCCAGACUUAGCUUACAAGUUUGGUUAAAGAGAGACUGACAUGAGCAUAAAGGAAGGGACAUUGAAAGAGGCAGAGAUGAAGGAAGAAAUUGUAACUUACUCCUUUUAUCCCACCCAUCAAAGGAAAGACAAGUUGACAAGUAUUGAUUCUGCAACAAACUGAGAAGAAACCUGGCGAUUCACAACAGAGAGCUGAGAAAUCCUAAGUCUGGAUUCCAGCUAAAUGGGAGCAGACUAAAUAGAGCGGCAGUCGGCGAACUACAUGUAGCCCAUGAACAAAAUCCGGUCCAGCACGUGUGUUUUUUUUUACGGCCCACAAAUGAGUCUGUCUUUACAGAUGAAUGUUAAAACUGGGUUGACAAGAGAGAACACUCACUUUGAACCGCAACUAAACAAAAUAUUAUCACCUUUCCCCUCAAAAAAGGUUUUUGUUCUUCUCAUUAGUAAAU